AUUGUCCGCCUUGGUAUUCUGCAUCUUGGGUACAUGGAUGAGCUCUGAGUGGUUGAAACUGCUUUUGAGGAUUUUGAUAUCUUCUAGAUAGCUUGCAAAUGCUGGCUUUUCACAUGGUUCUAAAACCAUCUUUACCAAUUGAGAAUAAUACGUUGCAAAAGUUACAUAAAACAGACAAAAAUUCCUCAUACAUUACAUUUCCCAAAUGAGCGCCUCUAGUUUCAAGUGAAGCGGAGAAAAACUGGGCCUGGUGUUUCUUGCUCCCAUCAGUCCAUCAAAUCCUUCAAGCGUACUAUGCUAACCUUGUCUGAGUAAGUUUUCUUCUCUUUCCAUGAUCCAUCCGUAAAACACCAUCUUUUCGGAAUAGUAGGUAAUGUUGAUAUUAGUACCUACCUGGAUUGAGUAAUACUGUGAGUAAAUGUUAAUUGUGCCACGAUCCACAUCACGCAUUCUGUCUUUGUCAAUGUAAGACUAUCUUUGGGGUCUAUGUUCAAAUUGCUGAAGACUUUGUUGUUUCGAGCUUUCCAAAUAUACCAUAAAAGCCAUAUUAAUUGAUGAUCUUCCAGAUGCGGAAUCACUCUCCAAAACAAAGUGACCCAUAUUUGCAAAAAGCGAUUCAGUAGG
rnacentral:lncRNA from 1 species